ACAGCCUUGGUAGGACAUCUAUUUCUCAAUUCCAUAAACCGGUAAGCUCCAUUUUUUUUAUAGGACCUGAAGGCUAGGCUAAACCUCCCUCAAAGGGAUUCCUGAGCGGAACUCUUUUUCAAAGAACUGGCGAUAUUCCCUUAACUGCAGAUUCAAUAGCACCGAUUAUGAACCCGGAAAGAGAAGAGCACCGUCUACUCAUACUGUCACACCGGCAAGGACUUUCACUUUCUAAAUAGAAAGGAAGAGGUCAGGCCCACCUUUCACAAGAGUAGAAGCUGGUACUCAACACUUGUAUUCUAUUCCCCAUUAUUUCUUUUUUUCGCUUUCUAGAAAUAUCAUAAGAGAAGAAAGAAGUUCAUGUAGGUCGGAUCCUAGCGUAGAUAAAUGCUAUCCGACUUGAAUGAUCGAAUUUUGCGUUUAGAGUUUCGUACCCAGGCACGGAAUCCACUUGCCAACUGAUCCGAGUUUGAAUUGGGGAACGAACGAUCUAAGUAAGGAGGUAGCUCCAGGAAGGUAGUUCUUUGACCCAGUUCAGUGAGACCGGGGCUUAGCUCUUUGAAGCAGAUGUUUAAGGAAGUUUCAAAAUGCUUACUCGAAAGAGUAAGGAAGAAGAGCUGCUUUUAUUUAAGCGGAAUCAGAGCUCUUGGGUAAGAAGGCAGGAAGAAGUUCACACCAGGAUUGAAGAAGCGGGUUUGAUAGAACCAGGGUCAGCGAAAGACGAUGGAAAAGGCUGCUUGUAAGCGUGAUCCUCUAUCCUCUCUCUUUCUAUCAUCAGAGAAUCAAUCUCGUAGCCUAGCUACGUAGCAGGCUCAGAGCCUUUUGAUGGAGGAAGAACCGCGGCUAUGGAAUCUGCUGCUCUGGCCGCUGUUCUGUUACCCGGUCUUGGUGGUGUAGUUAUAGGAGGUGCCGUAGCUUUAAACUCUUUUUUCGAGAUGAGAAUCAUAGACUUUUUUAUUGCCCAAGCAAGGGAAUCCAUUUGCCUUCGACCUGACUUUCUGAAAUGGGAUUCCGAGAAGGUGGAGUUCAGUAACCCAGUUCAGUGACCGAGGAGAGGUUGAGAAGAAGACAAUGAAUGGAAUGGUCCGAAAGUCGCUAUAGAAGAUCGAAUGAGUCUUAGUGAAGCUAGUCCAUUAAUUAGAUAGAUCACCUGUGCGUACGUUAUCUAUAAUAAGAAAAAACCUGGCUCCAGGUAGCGAAAGGGAGUAGCAAAGGGGAAAUUCGUUAGGAGAGAAGACCAGGAUUCCCUUGGUCCUUCUAAGGACCAGCAGCAUACCUGGAUUUACCGUCCAUCCAGAGAAUACCAGUCGUCCAGCUUAGAAACCAUUGAACUAGCUGCCGGAGAAGGGGAACUUCAACUAAGAAAGAAGAAGAAUAAGAAGAAUUGCUUAAGUAUGGCCAUUUUGUGUUCGAAUUCUAAACCGGCGAGGCGCUGCUGGAUGCUUCUGAUCAAUAGAACACGAAGAAGAGGAAAUCGAAUUAUGUAUGAUGAGCUUGAGUCGAGUCACAAAAAGGGUUAUGAUGAGCUUGAGUCGAGUCACAAAAAAGGGUAUGAUGAGCUUGAGUCGAUUAUUUCCAAGAUCGAAUUCCAGCUUUUUCUUAUGUAGUGUAUUAUUAUUUUUCCUUUUUUCUACCCUUUCUAUUCGAGGAGUCAAAACAAAGAGUAUAAAAUAUCUUUUGGUAUUCGUUCUUCUCCCUCUCCUAUUUCUGAAUUAUUAUUCGGGCGGGGCUCUUGAAGGCUUCCUUGCCGCGUGCGACGCGGGAAGGGGUUCCCCGUCUGGCCCUUUUUACCCUCCUGGGAGAGAAGCACAGCCGCACAUUCCCGAGCCCGAGGUUGCGCCCAUUCCGCGCGCCGUUCUGGUUCCGGAAUUAGAACGCCCUCUCCUUCCUGAUAUCCAAAGGAGAGCGGAGCUUCAACACCGGCUGUCCUUCUAUUUUAUCGGGAGGAACGAGCCCAGGCACCUCCCACUCUUUUUGGGUAUCCUGGAGAAGCAGUUCCUCUUGGAAAAGAGGGUCGAGGCCGCAUUGGUGGGGGAUGGGUUUCCCCCCCAGAUAGUUCUGGCUCGGAGGUCAGAAAUCCGCAACCUCCUCUUUAACCACCCUACUAGGGGUGGGGCGGCUCUCUCUGAGAAUACCUUAAAUAGGUAUUUGGGCCAGGUCGAGCGGGAUGGCACGCAGCAGAGCGUGCCCUAUCUUAGGGUGCCGUGCUGCCCGCUAUUGGGUCUAAGUGGGUUCUCCCGCUUUUUCGCCUUUCGAAGGGUGGCCCACACACGGACAGGGGGAAAGGGGGGAGACUAGCCUCAUUACUUCCCACUGGGCGAGAGGUGCACCUAACCCACCUACCCAUCAUCAAUCACGGUGUUCAGCUGACUUGCACUGAUAGACCCCUAUUGUAUUGGAAUUAGGCGCCCAUCUUUUUACUGUUGUCAAUGAAUCUCUUCCAUGUUCGAUUCUACUCUAUGUUAGAACAUUUCUGUGAAUGCUAUUCUGAUCUAAGUGGUCUUAUUCUUUGUCCCGUGCUAGGAAGCAUUACUCCUCUUUUCAUUCCAAAUUCAAGAAUACGACCGAUACGAUUAAUUGGUCUGUGCGCCUCUCUUAUUACUUUUUUGUAUCCCCCUGUUCUUCGGAUACAAUUCGAUCCUUCUACGGCCAAAUCUCAAUUUGUGGAAAGCCUUCGAUGGCUUCUUAUGAAAACAUCAAUUUUUAUUUGGGUAUAGACGGUAUCUCUUUAUUUUCGUGAUAUUGACCACAUUUCUGAUCCCUAUUUGCAUUUUAGUGGGUUGGUCUGGUAUGAGAAGUUAUGGGAAAGAGUAUAUUACAGCAUUUCUAAUUCGUGAAUUUAUAAUGAUCGCCGUGUUCUGCAUGCUGGAUCUUCUACUAUUCUAUGUUCUUCCCGAAAGUGUCUACCCUGACUUUACCAUUAUUAUAGGGGUAUAGGGUUCGAGACAAAGAAAGAUCAAGGCAGCAUAUCAGUUGUUCCUUUAUACUUUGUUUGGAUCUAUUUUUAUGUUUUAGCUAUUCUAUUGAUUCUUCUACCAAACAGGAACAACUAAUUUACAAACUCAUUAACCACAGAAUUUAGUGAGCGGCGCCAAAUCUUUCAAUGGAUUGCUUCUCCCUUUCACCGUCAAAGUGCCUAUGGUACCAGUUCAUAUUUGGUUACCCGAAGCUCAUGUAGAGGCACCUACGGCAGGAUCCAUCAUCUUGGCAGGAAUUUCUUUAAAAUUAGGAACCUAUGGGUUUUUAAGAUUUUCAAUGCACAUGUUUCUCGAAGCGAGACUUUGUUCCACUCCUUUCAUUAAUACUUUAAGCGCGAUUGGUAUAACAUAUACUUCCUCGACCACUUUAAGGCAGAUCGAUCUUAAGAAGAUCAUUGCUUACUCCUCAGUAGCUCAUAUGAAUCUGGUGACUAUUGGUAUGUUUAGUCCGGACAUACAGGGAAUUGGAGGUAGCAUUCUACCGAUGUCUAGUCAUGGACUGGUUUCUUCAGCCCUUUUUCUAUGUGUUGGUGUUCUAUAUGACCGACAUAAGACUCGACUUGUUAGAUAUUACAGAGGUUCAGUGAGCACCAUGUCGAAUCUCUCUACCAUUUUCUUCUCUUCCACUUUGGCCAAUAUGAGUUCACCUGGUACUAGCAGCUUUCUCGGGGAAUUUCUCAUCUUAGUAGGAGCUUUCGAAAGAAAUAGCUUAGUUGCCACAUUAGCAGCGGUUGGGAUGAUUUUAGGCGCGACCUAUUACCUUUGUCUAUAUAAUCGUGCGGUAUCUGGGAAUUUAAAACCUGAUUUCCUCCAUAAAUUCUCCGAUCCAAAUGGCAGAGAAGUUUCCAUAUUUAUACCUUUUCUUGUUGGAGUUAUCUACAUGGGAAUGAAUUCGUCCGUCAAACCCGCCAUUUGUAUGCACCCGAACAUGUUCAAUCGACCUUCGGCGUAAGCGACUUCGUACUGCUAUAGGCUCUAGUUAGGACUUAGAUAUGAACACCCCCCCUUCGUUAGAAUCCACCCUAAAGUUUCUUAGUAAACAGGGAUCGUUCAGUAAUGACCUAGUCUUUCGCGAGACUUCAGGUUUACCUCUUUUGUUAGGUCUCGACUUCUCCGUUAUGAUCGCGUUUUGUACCCCUACUAAGAACUUGAGAGACGGAACUAUGACUCACGGAAGCGGUAUAUUAGUGCCUUAUGCGGGAAAUCCUUGCUUGACUUGUUGAUCAUCUAUCAUUACUGGCGAAGCAAGCAUACCGAUAAUCAACUCGCUUGAGAGAACAAUUCGAGAAGGAAGACCCCAAGCC